rnacentral:rRNA from 1 species
CAGCCGCCGCGGUAAUACGGAGGAUCCAAGCGUUAUCCGGAAUCAUUGGGUUUAAAGGGUCCGUAGGCGGUUUAAUAAGUCAGUGGUGAAAGCCUUCCGCUUAACGGGAGAACGGCCAUUGAUACUGUUAGACUUGAAUUAUUAGGAAGUAACUAGAAUAUGUAGUGUAGCGGUGAAAUGCUUAGAGAUUACAUGGAAUACCAAUUGCGAAGGCAGGUUACUACUAAUGGAUUGACGCUGAUGGACGAAAGCGUGGGUAGCGAACAGGAUUAGAUACCCUGGUAGUCCACGCCGUAAACGAUGGAUACUAGCUGUUCGGAGCAAUCUGAGUGGCUAAGCGAAAGUGAUAAGUAUCCCACCUGGGGAGUACGAUCGCAAGGUUGAAACUUAAAUGAAUUGACGG